rnacentral:rRNA from 1 species
UACCGAGGUCUCAAGCGUUGUUCGGAUUCAUUGGGCGUAAAGGGUGCGUAGGCGGCGCGGUAAGUCGGGUGUGAAAUCUUGGAGCUUAACUCCGAAACUGCAUUCGAUACUGCCGUGCUUGAGGACUGGAGAGGAGACUGGAAUUUACGGUGUAGCGGUGAAAUGCGUAGAUAUCGUAAGGAAGACCAGUGGCGAAGGCGGGUCUCUGGGCAGUAACUGACGCUGAGGAGCGAAAGCGUGGGGAGCGAACAGG